rnacentral:rRNA from 1 species
UACGAAGGGGGCUAGCGUUGUUCGGAGUUACUGGGCGUAAAGCGCACGUAGGCGGACUAUUAAGUCAGGGGUGAAAUCCCGGGGCUCAACCCCGGAACUGCCUUUGAUACUGGUAGUCUCGAGUCCGGAAGAGGUGAGUGGAAUUCCGAGUGUAGAGGUGAAAUUCGUAGAUAUUCGGAGGAACACCAGUGGCGAAGGCGGCUCACUGGUCCGGUACUGACGCUGAGGUGCGAAAGCGUGGGGAGCAAACAGG